rnacentral:rRNA from 1 species
UACGUAGGGGGCUAGCGUUGUCCGGAAUCAUUGGGCGUAAAGAGCGUGUAGGCGGCCCGGUAAGUCCGCUGUAAAAGUCAAAGGCUCAACCUUUGAAUGUCAGUGGAUACUGCCGGGCUAGAGUCCGGAAGAGGCGAGUGGAACUCCUGGUGUAGCGGUGGAAUGCGCAGAUAUCAGGAAGAACACCAACGGCGAAGGCAGCUCGCUGGGACGGUACUGACGCUGGAGACGCGAAAGCGUGGGAGCGAACAGG